UUUAGGUUUCAUCAACAUUUUCUUUUUCUUUGAGAAACUAAUCAUUCGUAACUCUAUACAUUAUGUUAAUCAACUAAGUUAAUCAUUCAUAACUCUAAACAGUAAAUUAAUCAAAUAAGUUAGGAUACAUACAUAUAAAAGUACAUAUAACUCGAACAAUAAGUUAACCAAAUAAGUUACAUAACAUACACAUGAAAAAAUAGGUUACAUACAUAACUAUAUACAAUAAGUUAAUCAAAUAAGUAGACAGUAUACAAAUAGAAACACAAGUUAGAUACAUAACUCUGUAUAAUAAGUUAAUCAAAUAACUUAGAUAGCAUACACAUGAAAAAGACAUAUUACAUACAUAACUCUGUAUAAUAUAAGUUAAUCAACUAAGUUAUAUAGCAUACACACAAAACAAAAGUUAGAUACAUGUAACUUUGUACAAUAAGUUAAUCAAAUAAUUUGAUAGCAUACACAUGAAAACACAAGUUAGAUAUAUAACUUUAUAUAAUAAGUUAAUUAACUAAAUUAGGUACCAUACAUAUGAAAAAACAUGUUAUAUACAUAACUUUAUACAAUUUAUGGUCAUAAGAUUAAGUAAAAUAGGAAGAAGAAAAGGUGAAAGAAGGGAUCAAAAUAGUGCAAAUAAAAUUAAAUUAGUUAACAUAUAAAAGAAUAAAAUAUAAAGAAAAAAAUAAGAAAAUAUAUAAAAAAGAUAUAGAUGAAUGCACUUGUGGUAGCGCAUGUUCGGUGGAGGAAUAAAUAUGACACACCUACAACAGCACACGUCCGUCUCGGGAUCGUUCGCUCAAACGAAAAGGAGUGAACGCUCGCGGGAAUGGAUUUGUGCAGUCCAAUGCACAUAUACUUGAGUAAAUUAACGACGCCACGCCACUAUUCUACGAACGUUCAAUGGAAAUAAAAGCAACGGUCAAUUUCGGACAGCCAUUCUCUUUCUUUAUUUGGGCAGUGCAUAUAUUACUUUCUAUUUCUGGACAAAACAGAGAACCAUUUCUCUUUCUCUUUUAAGGCAUUCGAUUCUUUUUUCACUUUCUUUUGCUGGAUCACCCGUCCUUAAAUAUGUUUUUAUUUUUUUUUAAGAAGCAUAUGCUCAUAACUUAUAAAACGAAAUUAAAAAGCAUAACUUUAACGAUAAACUUAACAGUACUAACUUAGAAGUGCUUCUAGCAACAUAAGUUUGAGAAAUAGCUCAACAUUGCUAACUUAGUCGUUCUCCUGCAUUCUCUUUUAGGUUUGAAGAGUUGUUUUUUCUCUCUUUUUGGAAAACUAAACAUUUAGGAAAUGGGAAGAGAGUUUAUAAAAAGGUGGGGGAUGAAAUAAAAGUAACUUUUACAACUUAUACUACAUAAUACAUUCCAUAGAAUGAUGAUGCACCCUUGGAAAACCAAGAUAAAAUAAUUGCUUUUUAAACUUGUGCAACGAUAAUUUCAGAAUUUGUUUCUUCAAUUCGUAGAUCUGUAAAAUAAUUAAAUUAUAAAAUUUAAAAUAACAAGUACAAAAUACAAGUUAGAUGCAUUACUGUUAAUAGUAACUUAGACAAAUAAGUUAGCUAGCAUGC
rnacentral:lncRNA from 1 species